rnacentral:rRNA from 1 species
UUGGGGCGGUGCAGUGUGGUGUCGUCAUGAUUGCUUGCAAUGUGGCGAACACAGAGCAGUCAUGUUGGGACCCGAAAGAUGGUGAACUAUGCCUGAGCAGGACGAAGCCAGAGGAAACUCUGGUGGAGGUCCGAAGCGGUUCUGACGUGCAAAUCGAUCGUCAGACUUGGGUAUAGGGGCGAAAGACUAAUCGAACCAUCUAGUAGCUGGUUCCCUCCGAAGUUUCCCCCAGGAUAG